UUUGAACGCACCUUGCGCUCCUUGGUAUUCCGAGGAGCAUGCCUGUUUGAGUGU
rnacentral:rRNA from 1 species